AUCAUCCAUUCCGCGUGCAGGACGAAGGCCUUCGGGUUGUAAACUGCUUUUGUACGGAACGAAAAAGCUCUUACUAAUACUAGGAGUCCAUGACGGUACCGUAAGAAUAAGCACCGGCUAACUACGUGCCAGCAGCCGCGGUAAUACGUAGGGUGCAAGCGUUAAUCGGAAUUACUGGGCGUAAAGCGUGCGCAGGCGGUUAUAUAAGACAGAUGUGAAAUCCCCGAGACUUAACUUGGGAACUGCAUUUGUGACUGUAUAGCUGGAGUACGGCAGAGGGGGAUGGAAUUCCGCGUGUUAGCAAGCUGAAACAUGGGCGUAGAUAUCGCGGAGGAACACCGAUGGCGAAGGCAAUCCCCNUGGGCCUGGNUAACUG
rnacentral:rRNA from 1 species